rnacentral:rRNA from 1 species
CACGUAGGGCGCAAGCGUUGUCCGGAAUUAUUGGGCGUAAAGAGCUCGUAGGUGGUUUGUUACGUCUGCUGUGAAAUCCUAGGGCUUAACCCUGGGCUUGCAGUGGAUACGGGCAGACUAGAGGUAGGUAGGGGAGAAUGGAAUUCCUGGUGUAGCGGUGAAAUGCGCAGAUAUCAAGUGGAACACCAGUGGCGAAGGCGGGUCUCUGGGCCGAUACUGACGCUGAGGUGCGAAAGCGUGGGGAGCGAACAGG